GCCGUGGGCAUCUGGCACUGCGGCUCUGGCAUGAAGACUGUCGUCAGUGGGUCCUGGACCUACAACACCACUUCUGCUGUCACAGUGAAGUCAGCC
rnacentral:miRNA from 1 species